UCUCCUUCAGACCCAGCCUGGAGCCCCUCAGGGCCUGCAGGGCAGUUCCUAAUUCCUGUACCUCCAGGGUGUAGGCUGCUGCACACAGAACGUAUGAUUUGCUUUGAAUAAACAGGGCCACUCCUCCCUCAGUGAAUGUUUGCUGGAGGAGGGACCCCCUUGGCCUCCCUGGACUCCCCUGGAGUCUUAGCAAAGACAAGAAGUCUGAAGAUGAGAGGAGGGGGCAGGAGGGAGGUCGUCAAGCAGGGAGAAAGUUCUAGAGGGAGCUUCGCCAGUCUCCUGAAGAUGAGAGGUCAUCGAGCAGGGAGAAAGUUCAAGAGGGAGCUUCGCCAGUCUCCUGUGCGGUGGGCGUUUCUAAGCAUUUUGGUUCAAUGGUUUUGGAGAAAGAGAGCUUCUGGUUCAUUUCAAGAUUCAGCCAUUGGACACGUCUUCAACGUCCAGGAUUUUAGAGAUUGGCAGCUUUCUUUCCCCUAAUAGAAUUUCAACUUAAAUCUAUUGCUUUAGUACUUCUUUCAAUUCACUGAUUUAUUCACUGGCUCAAUCAAAUGGAUAUUUUGCAAGUGGUUUAAGUAUUUGGUAAGUGCUUGGAGUCUGAAAUAUGAAUCACACAUGAAACUGACAUUCAGCAGGGGAGAACUGCACUCAUGAAGCUACUGGAGUUGACUUGGGUGGGACAGCAUUGGGGAAACCAAAACUAAUUUCAAGUAAAGCAAAACUUCCCCCAAAUCUUCCAAGAGGUUCUUCAGUAGAUUGAUUUGUCGGUAGAUUGAAUUACUCUACUUCUGAUCCAAAUACAUGUUUCAAAUUUCAUAUACGAAAUAAUACAUUUUCUUCAUUGGAUUGCCCCCUGGAUCUUUUAAAUCCUAGUUUAUAUCCAUCCUGGUAGGCCUGGUGACCCAAUCCUUCUGUUAAGUUCCACAUCAAAUGCCUCCUGCUUUUGGAAGCUUUCCACAGCCGGGCCUGGCGCAGAGGGGGUUCCUCUGCACCUCUUUUCCAAGCAAAUGGCUGAAGGUGAUCUCUCCCUAUUUGUACAGUUCCUUCCAGAGUGCACCUCUUACGUCAUUCCUAGUGGACAAGGCCUAUUCUCCAUCCUCAGAACCCUGAAUAGUGAAAUAAAGCCCAUCAAUGCUUAAACUAGA
rnacentral:lncRNA from 1 species